GACGAACGCUGGCGGCGUGCUUAACACAUGCAAGUCGAACGGAAAGGCCCUGCUUUUGUGGGGUGCUCGAGUGGCGAACGGGUGAGUAACACGUGAGUAACCUGCCCUUGACUUUGGGAUAACUUCAGGAAACUGGGGCUAAUACCGGAUAGGAGCUCCUGCUGCAUGGUGGGGGUUGGAAAGUUUCGGCGGUUGGGGAUGGACUCGCGGCUUAUCAGCUUGUUGGUGGGGUAGUGGCUUACCAAGGCUUUGACGGGUAGCCGGCCUGAGAGGGUGACCGGCCACAUUGGGACUGAGAUACGGCCCAGACUCCUACGGGAGGCAGCAGUGGGGAAUAUUGCAAGAUGGGCGGAAGCAUGAUGCAGCAACGCCGCGUGCGGGAUGACGGCCUUCGGGUUGUAAACCGCUUUCGCCUGUGACGAAGCGUGAGUGACGGUAAUGGGUAAAGAAGCACCGGCUAACUACGUG
rnacentral:rRNA from 1 species